UCAGCUAACUGCAGUGUUCCACAAGACUGUUACCAGACCUUCAUGGGACCUUUCCGUUCUUUCUGGGUUGUCUUGAGGUUCUUCAGCGUUAGAGAGCAACUGAAAACAGGACACAGACCCAAACCAGAGGACAACAACUCUACAUUGACUCAGAGGAAUCCUCCAGGACGACGACACAAACCAAAACCACUGCACAACUCUACAUCAACUCCCACACUUUCCAGAGGAUUCCUCCUGUAUGCUGUUCAUGGUGAAGAGCAGCUUGAGGCUGACAGGGAUGCAAGUUGGACUGCUUAUCAAAGACAAAGGCCAGCUACAAGUCUUCAUCAUCAUUCAUCACAAGGUCAUCAUUCAUUUCAAAAGGGACAUGCCAACUGGCUAGUUGGGCUCAAUGUGAAGAAAAAGACUGUGAAUCUCUUGUGUGUUCACAAAACAUGGACUGUUGACCACACAGUGUUUUGGACUUGGACUACAUCAUGUACUAUACUCUUUUCAAUGACAUCACACUGCAUAUUGGUAAAAUAGUCCCUGGAGGAGUAAUUUUUGAAUUAGAUUCCUAAGGGCCCAGAAGUCAUGGAUGAGGGUACUGAUGUAUGGUUACAGAUUCAAAUCUGCAACCUUCCAAUUGCAAGAUUAACUCCCUACCA